rnacentral:rRNA from 1 species
GACGAACGCUGGCGGCGUGCCUAAUACAUGCAAGUAGAACGCUGAAGGAGGAGCUUGCUCUUCUGGAUGAGUUGCGAACGGGUGAGUAACGCGUAGGUAACCUGCCUGGUAGCGGGGGAUAACUAUUGGAAACGAUAGCUAAUACCGCAUAACAGUAGAUGUUGCAUGACAUUUGCUUAAAAGGUGCAAUUGCACCACUACCAGAUGGACCUGCGUUGUAUUAGCUAGUUGGUGGGGUAACGGCUCACCAAGGCGACGAUACAUAGCCGACCUGAGAGGGGGAUCGGCCACACUGGGACUGAGACACGGCCCAGACUCCUACGGGAGGCAGCAGGAGGGAAUCUUCGGCAAUGGACGGAAGUCUGACCGAGCAACGCCGCGUGAGUGAAGAAGGUUGUCGGAUCGUAAAGCUCUGUUGUAAGAGAAGAACGAGUGUGAGAGUGGAAAGUUCACACUGUGACGGUAUCUUACCAGAAAGGGACGGCUAACUACGUG